rnacentral:rRNA from 1 species
CCUGGCUCAGGAUGAACGCUGGCGGCGUGCUUAACACAUGCAAGUCGAACGAAGCUCUUUGAACUGAGGAUUCGUCCAAGGUGAUGAGAUGACUUAGUGGCGGACGGGUGAGUAACGCGUGGGUAACCUGCCGUAUGCAGGGGGACAACAGUUGGAAACGACUGCUAAUACCGCAUAAGCGCACAGGACCGCAUGGUCUAGUGUGAAAAGAUUUAUCGGCAUACGAUGGACCCGCGUCUGAUUAGCUAGUUGGUGAGGUAACGGCCCACCAAGGCAACGAUCAGUAGCCGGCCUGAGAGGGUGAACGGCCACAUUGGGACUGAGACACGGCCCAAACUCCUACGGGAGGCAGCAGUGGGGAAUAUUGCACAAUGGGGGAAACCCUGAUGCAGCGACGCCGCGUGAGUGAAGAAGUAUCUCGGUAUGUAAAGCUCUAUCAGCAGGGAAGAAAAUGACGGUACCUGACUAAGAAGCCCGGCUAACUACGUGCC